GAAAAGAGAGAUCAAUGGAGUUUUAAAAAGGAGAUUUGGUUAAUUUACCUUCUCUUUCAUUGUCAAACCCUAGCUCAUCCAUCUUUUGCCUCAUAAACCCUAGCAAUCAAGAGUUGUCGUCGCCUGUUCUACCGUCCACUCGCUGGUUUUCUCUACGUCGUCAGUCGGAUCGUCGCUCUCCACUCCGUCUUCCUCUGAAAACAUUAUCGAUCAGCGCGUCGACCACCAUUUGUCGUGUCGAUCUUUGCAUCAGUCGCGCAGGCCACCAUUCGUGAACCACCACCCGAGCGUCACCUCCUUUCAAGCCUUAAGCACACCACCGAGCUUCGUAUUUCGUCAGCCGUCACCGAUCAGCCAUGUCUUCGCGUGAGUCAAGCUGCACGCGUGCCUUAGCCAAGCCUAACUCGAGCUGCACGUAACUCCUUCUAAGUUGUGCGUCCGCAUACGCCGAGCCAUAGCGCAAGCCGACCCCUACCCAAGCGAAUCCCUCUUUCAGUCGAGUCGCACGCGUCUUCUUUCCUCUCUAGCUAAGCUGUUGAGCCGCAAAAACUAUUUUUAGGUCUUUUUCACCUAUUUUUGGACUGGUUAGAUCAAAUUGGGAGUUGGUGCUGUGGAAUUUUUCCUAAAUUAAGGUUGAAUAGGAUUCAACCACAACUUUUGGAUUUCUCUUGGAAAACUUGAUCUUGCUGUCCGGAUUAUACUUUUGGAUUAAGCUAAUCUCUAGGUUAGGUAAUAUUUCUUGUGCGGCAAACAAAGAACGCAGAAGAGAAGAAGACCUACGACUGGAACGAAGAAGAAGAUGAAGAUUGUGAUGGGGGCACACGCAAGG